GACGAACGCUGGCGGCGUGCUUAACACAUGCAAGUCGAGCGGUAAGGCCCUUUCGGGGGUACACGAGCGGCGAACGGGUGAGUAACACGUGGGUGACCUGCCCUUAGCUCUGGGAUAAGCCUGGGAAACUGGGUCUAAUACCGGAUAUGACCUCAUGACGCAUGUUGUGGGGUGGAAAGCCUUGUGCGGCUAGGGAUGGGCCCGCGGCCUAUCAGCUUGUUGGUGGGGUGAUGGCCACCAAGGCGACGACGGGUAGCCGGCCUGAGAGGGCGACCGGCCACACUGGGACUGAGACACGGCCCAGACUCGUACGGGAGGCAGCAGUGGGGAACCUUGCGCAAUGGGCGAAAGCCUGACGCAGCGACGCCGCGUGAGGGAUGACGGCCUCGG
rnacentral:rRNA from 1 species